UGGAUUAUGGUAUGUAGCACCGUUAUCUACGCAAAAAUUGUUAUUAUUUGUAAUGCAAAGAGGAAGAGCAUAUUUUUCGUUAACGUUUUACGGUGUAAUUGCUGCAUCUUUUGACGGCUUAGUUACGCUCUUGAAACUGGCAAUAUCGUACUUCAUGGUACUUAAUUCAGUGCAAAAGUAGUGAGUCACCCAGCGAAAUUAAUUUAAAAUUAAUUAGAUUUUUUAUCAAUUUAAUAUUGUUAUAUAAAAAACAAUAUUAUAACAUUGCUAAUGAAAGUGAAAUGUAAUAAUCAAUGUACAAUUCCAAUUAUAAACGUUUUUAAUAUUCAUUGAACAUAAACUUGAUCAAAUUAGAAGCACAUUUAUAGUUGUGUAACACAUACAUAGAACUGUUUUGAAUUUAUGAUACUAAUAGAGGUUCAAAGUAAGAAGCUCUACUUUCUUCCGCUUAUGUGUUUUUUUUUCUAAAUAUUAUUUUGGUUAUAGCCCCAAAAUGUAUAUGCAAAGACCAAAAAAA
rnacentral:lncRNA from 13 species